UGAUCCUGGCUCAGGAUGAACGCUAGCUACAGGCUUAACACAUGCAAGUCGAGGGGGCGAGCAUGGUCUUAGCUUGCUAAGGCCGAUGGCGACCGGCGCACGGGUGAGUAACGCGUAUCCAACCUGCCUUACACUCUUGGACAGCCUUCUGAAGGGAGAUUAAUACAAGAUGUUAUCAUGAGUAAGCAUUUUCACAUGAUUAAAGGUUUACCGGUGUAAGAUGGGGAUGCGUUCC
rnacentral:rRNA from 1 species